GAGGCUGGACGUGAUGACAUCCAAGUCCUUGGAGAACCUAAGCUUUCACGUCCAUGGAAAUGAAGAAUGGACAGUUAAGAUUAGAGUAUAAAUUUCAAAACCAUAAAGACUCGAAGACAGUGAAAACCUGAUAUUGGCUUACAUUUGGCCUGCUGACCAAAAUAAAGCUAGUUGGACCCUUGUUGUUUUGGUUCACUGAUUGGUCAGAGGUUCCUGACAGCGCCAAUGGAAGAAACGAGGAUCCCUAGGACUUACACUGGUAGAUUGCAACAAAUAAGCGAACUCUUCAGAAAACGGAUGAGCCACCUAUCUGCUAACCUGUUUGAACAGGAAAUGGAAAGAAAAAACUGAGGUCUUUGACUGGAACCUUUGGCCAACUCUGUGACAAAUGAGAAGCCCUACACUUGUCAGAGGUACCUCAGUUUGCGGAGAGGAUCUAAGGCUACCAUUUGAAUGUUUGUGACUUGAUCUUUCCGAAGGAAUCCCCUAAGAAAUCAACUUCAUUACCAUCAUCAUUCCUGGGGGUGGUUUACCAGAGAUUAGUAGCUUUGGUUUGAUUCUGGCAUUAAAAUGAGUAUUUCCUCUAACUUCUUUACGGUAACGUGAUCUGCACAGUGGUACUGAGAAGGGGAGAGAUGUGAAGAGACACAAUCGUUAUUUAUGACCUCAGUUUUAGGUCAUGGA